CAGGUCGACAACUGGCUUCAAAAGGACAACAGCCGAGUUGGUAGCGAAGAUACGCAGAAGAGACUGGAGGAAGCUACGCACGAAAAUCGAGGUCUCAGGAUGAACCUGACUGAAACUGAAACCAGCAUCGCCCUGAUGAGAGCCGAUAUGGCUCAGAUUCGGUCCCAGUACGAAGAAAAGUGUCGGGAACUGCACAGCGAGCGUCAACAGCUCGAGGAAUAC